AACCGAAAAAAGACGAAAAGAAAAAAGAACAAAAACAUCUUCCGCAACCCUAAUAUUCUCUCUCUUCGAAUUUCUUCCUUUCACAGCUUCUCUUCUCCUUCGUCUCUGGUGGUUAUAUUUCCGUAAUGAAGAAGAAGAAGCAAGCUUCCGACGCUGGAACUAUCGUCGGAGAUGGCAAAGAUACCGCGGGAAAAUCUUCCGCCAUUGUAGGCGACAUCAAAAGCUUAGUGAAAGACCACGCAAACUUCUUCGACAAGAUCGUAGAAUUAAUUCCGGCGAAGUUCUACCUUCCUUCAAAUGAAGACGAUAAGCCGUGGUUCCAAGGGUUAUCCAAAGCAGCGAAAGCAGAAGCGAAGCUAAAAUCAAUUGAAAACACGAAGAAAUCGAGACGCGAUCGAUUAGACCCCGAGAAAUCGUCCAAAACAACCCUAGAUUUGUUGAAGGAGUCAUUGGAGAGCCAAAAAUCGGAGAAAAAAGCGUCAAGUGAUGAUGAUGAUGAUGAUCGUAUUGGUGGUGGUUCGAGGUUGAUGAAUUUGGAGGAGGAUAAGAGGUCGGUGACUUACGAGGAGUUGAGGCAGAGGUUGCAUAGGAGGAUUGAGGAGUUGCGAGCCGGUCGCGGCGACGGAAGCGGGUUUGUGAGGAAGAGGAAGGAGGUGGAGAAGAGAGAGAAGAAGGAUGAGAGGAAGCGUAAAAGAGAUGAAGAUAAGGAGGAUGAUAAUGAGAUUAAGAGAGAUAUUGAGAAGGAAGUUUCUGAAGCUGCUAAAGGAAUUGAGUUUGGGAAGGUCAAAUUAGCUGCUUCCACUGAUGAAAUACUUAAUAAUAACAAGAAGAAGAAGAAAUUGUCGAAGGAGAAGGAGUUAGAGAGAGCACUUCAGCUGGAAGAGGCAAAGAAAGAUCCAGAAAAGGGUGAAGUAUUUACAAAAAAGCAUUCUUGGAAGACAGCUACUGAGAGGGCAAUGGGGGUUAAAGUGCAUGAUAAUCCCAAGCUGUUGAAGAAAAGUUUGCAGAAGGAUAAAAAGAAGCAUGAGAAGAGUGUCGAGAAGUGGAAGCAGAGGGUUGAAACCACUGAGAAGAUGAAGCGGGGUAAGCAGGAUAAGAGAAAAGAGAAUAUUAAGGCCAGGAUUGACAAAAAGAAGCAAACAAAAAUUGACAAGAGAGAAAAGAAGCUUAUGAGGCCAGGGUUUGAGGGCAGGAAAGAGGGCUACAUUACAGGGAAUUAAGGUAUUGAUGUCUCUCAGUUGGAUGGUAGGUUUUUUUUCAUCAUGGAUAGCAUACUUGUACGGAUGCAUUGGAGAAGUUGUAAUGGUUCCUUGCUGAAGUUUUUGACCUACAUUUACCAAGGAAUGAGAUCUGUGCAUCCAUGGAUGUUCUCAUUAUGGGGUUUACUUAUAUAAGAUAAAUCCAUAGCUAUUCCCAAAUGGAGUUGGUUUUGUUGCCUCCAGUUAUGAGAUUGACCUACCAACCUUUAACGUUGACCUAGCGUAUCUUAUCAAUAAUGAGUCGAGUUCGGUCAGCUACCGCAGGUAACUUAUUCCUACUUUACGAAAUUACGUUGCUCUUUUGGUUUCUUUUACUGACUUCAUCUUAUACUGUUUUGAUCUACAUCUACUUGAUAAAAUAGGGAGGUAGUAAACUAAUCAGCUGCUGGAUGUGUCUUGCUGUGUAUAGGUUGCUCCUCUGCUCUAAUAUGAGCCAUGUUUAACUCCCUCUCCUCGCUUCACAUGUUGAUUCCCCGUAUUCCAAGGAUUAAAAAAUGGAGGUCCUGAGCUACUUUUCAUCUUACAAAGGAAAGUCAGGUGAACUUUUUGGUAUUCGGCAAAUGGAUUUACUAAGCUCCUACUUCAAAUCCUUACAGGAAGCCGGAAGGAUACUACACACUUUUCCCCAUGCUAUCCAAACAAGCCAAUAGAAUAUGACAUGGGAAUACAUUAGGGUGAAAUUGUUACGGUGUGAAAGUUAAGAUUACGGCCUCUUCUCUGGUUAAGGUCAUGGAUGAAGCUUUUAACAUUUACAAAAAAACUUUGGGUUGAGGUGGCCAAUACCAGGUAUAUAAGCAUUGAUUUCAAAUGCAGAUGUUAAUCGUACUCUGGCAACUUUACGUAAGGCGGAGUUUGGCGAUGUUUGCUAGUUAUUUGAUGAAAUUAAUAGCACAUAUUUGUAAAUUGCAACCAAUGAAGCCUUCGAACUACUUUGAAGCUUGGCUAAUGGCUAAGAAUGCUAUCAAUAAAAAUUUAGAUAUUUGUA